rnacentral:lncRNA from 1 species
AUGUGCGCCCCGGAGACCCUGGUCAUCUCCUUCCCGACGCGAUCGGCCGGCAGACAGUGGGGCGCAGCGCAGGAGGAGGUGACAAGGAAGGUGGAGGUGGCAAGGCGAGCGCGUCGUCCUCCGCAGAGGGCUCAGGUGGAAGGAAAGGGUCCGGGCGGAUGCGGGCGGGGCGGUGCGCGCCGGGGCGGGCGGCGGGAAGCCUGGGGGCGCACCCGGGCCCUGUGGGAGUGCGGGGCCGGCAGCGGCGGCGGGGGCGAGGGCUGCUGGGCCAGGGCGCCGCGGAGCGCUGGCGCGGAGGGAGGGCGGAGCCUCUAUUGUGCCGGGCCGCGGGGAUGCAGCCAGUUACCGCGCGGAGGAGGAGGAGGACCGGGAAGCGCCCUGGGCUCGGGCGGCGGGGAGACCAGCCGACCCCGCCCCCGACUCGACCUCAGCUGCUGCUCACGCCCUCCAGGGGUGACGUCGGAAGGGCGCCUCUUUCAUCUGACCGCAAAUGGGACAGAAGUUACCCUGAGCCGGGUCCCUGAAGUUCGGGGAUCCCUUGUGCCCAUGCUCUCCGAGAGGAGCGAGUUUCCUUUGGUUGGCAGGACACCUGGCAUAAGGCCCCUUGUUGGAAACAGACACAAGAGGGUCAGUAACAAAAUUUCAGCAGCCACAAAGGUAUGGACCAUGGCCUUUUCAGCUGCAUUUAUCCACUAGGUUCCAGUGGGACGACGGUGGAGGCUUUCAAGUUUUGCAUGAGGAUCACUGAUUCAAGUCUUUGAGUUCCCUGUGACAGGGGAUCCAGAGCAAGUCUGUCCAGCAACCUGAACCUGGGAGUGGUGUGCACACUGCCGUAGCUCCAGAAUCAUCUGGACUAUGCCUGCUUGAGACGAUCACCCUGUGGCAUCAUUAGGGAUUAGAGACUGAAAUUCACACGUCUGCCCACUGCCUCUGGCUAGCCUUCUGCAGUGCUGGACGCCCCAUGGACAGUGGGGGCCUGGGGGUGAGAGAGAGCCAAGGCUGUCUUGUCCACUCUCUUGCUAGUAGCACUGUCCUCUUGACCCCUGGACAGGGCAGGAGCAACCACACCAGGGCUUCUUGUCCUCCUCACUGGCUCCAGGAGUCAGUGGUAGCAUUCUUUAUAGUCACUUUCAAAAUUGGUGAAUUUUAAUAUUGAAGAUGGAAGAAAAAAGCAACAUUUUUAUCAUAUUAAGCUUUAGUAUUUCAAGAAAGGUUUAAAAAGCAGCUGAAAUGCAAACAAAACAAAACAAAACAAAACUGUGCUGUGUGUGGAGAAGGUGCUCUAACUGAUUUAAUGUGUCAAAAGUGGUUUUUGUGGCUUCAUCCUGGAGAUUUCUCGCUGGAUGAUGUUCCAUGGUUGGGUAGACAGUUGAAGUUGAUAGUGAUCAAAUAAAGACAUUAAUUGAGAAUAAUCAAUAUUAUACCACGUGGGAGAUAGCUGACAUACUGAAAAUAUCCAGAUUAUUUACACCAACUUAGUUGUGUUCAUCACUUUGAUGUUUGGGUUCUACGUAAGUAAGUGAAAAAACCUUCUUGAUUAUAUUUCCACAUGUGACUCUCUACUUAAACAUAACAAAAAUCUUCCACUUUUAAAACAAAUUAUGAUGAGUGAUGGAACGUGGAUACUGUAUGAUAAUGUGGAAUGUAAGAGAUUAAGGGGCAAGUGAAAAUGAACCACCAUCAAAGACCAGUCUUCAUCCAAAGAAGGUGAUGUUGCAUAUAUGGUGGGAUUGGAAGGGAAUCCUCUAUUAUGAGCUCCUCCUGGAAAACCAAACAAUUAAUUCCCAAAGGUACCGCUCUCAAUUAGACUAACUGAAAGCAGCACUCGCUGAAAAGUGUUCAGAAUUAGUCAACAGAAAACACGUCAUCUUCCAUCAGGAUGGUGAAGGAUCACAUGUUUCUUUGAUGACCAGGCAAAAAUUAUUACAGCUUGGCUGGGAAGUUCUGAUUCAUCCCCUGUAUUCACAAGACACUGCACUUUCAGAUAUCCAUUUAUUUUGGUCUUUAUGAAAUUUCCUUAAGGGAAAAAUUCAAUUCCCUGAAAGACUAUAAACAGCAGCUGGGACAGUUCUUUGCUGAAAAAGAGGAAAAAGUUUUGGAAAGAUGGAAUUAUGAAGUUGCCUGGAAAAUGGCAGAAGGUAGUGAAACAAAACAAUAAAUACAUUGGUCAAUAA